ACCCUCAUCCAGCCUGCAGGCUGAACUCUGCCAACCGCUGCUCUACAGAGUGCAUCUUCAUCCCCUGAGGAAGAUGCUCCCCAGAAUAAGCCUUCAACAUACUGGAGAGAAUCAGGGGCAGAAGACCCAGAGCUGAGGACCUGGAUCAGCAUGGCUCUCUGGAAGGACUUGUGACCAGCAUUCUACCAUAGGAGGCCUUGUGUCUAAUGUCCUAGUUGCCUAAGAACCAGAAAGUGAAUGACUAGAAACAAGAUGUGAAACUGGCCAGACUACUUUCACCAGCUGCGGAGACAAGCAGAGAAAAGAAAUAGCAUCAAAGAUGGAAAGUAAACUGAGCUUGAAAGCAUGAGUGCUAUAAUCAGUAGUAACAUUAUUUGGGUUUUUUUUCAAAUAGUUACAGUUUUUCUAAUGUACAGUGUUACUAAUAAAACAAAGAAAUGCCUUAUA